rnacentral:rRNA from 1 species
CCCUUAGAUGUUCUGGGCCGCACGCGCGCUACACUGAUACGCUCAACGAGCUCCUUGGCCGAAAGGUCCGGGUAAUCUUUGAAAUCGUAUCGUGAUGGGGAUAGAACAUUGCAAUUUUUGUUCUUCAACGAGGAAUGCCUAGUAGGCGCAAGUCAUCAGCUUGCGUCGAUUACGUCCCUGCCCUUUGUACACACCGCCCGUCGCUCCUACCGAUUGGGUGUGCUGGUGAAAUGUUCGGAUCGGCCGUUUGUCGCGGUUUCCGCGGCUCGUGGCUGAGAAGUUCAUUAAACCCUCCCACCUAGAGGAAGGAGAAGUCGUAACA